rnacentral:rRNA from 1 species
UACGUAGGGUCCGAGCGUUGUCCGGAAUUAUUGGGCGUAAAGAGCUCGCAGGCGGUUUGUCGCGUCUGCUGUGAAAUCCCGAGGCUCAACCUCGGGCCUGCAGUGGGUACGGGCAGACUGGAGUGCGGUAGGGGAGAAUGGAAUUCCUGGUGUAGCGGUGGAAUGCGCAGAUAUCAGGAGGAACACCGAUGGCGAAGGCAGUUCUCUGGGCCGUAACUGACGCUGAGGAGCGAAAGCGUGGGGAGCGAACAGG